CCUACGGGAGGCAGCAGUGGGGAAUAUUGCACAAUGGGCGAAAGCCUGAUGCAGCGACGCCGCGUGAGCGAAGAAGUAUUUCGGUAUGUAAAGCUCUAUCAGCAGGGAAGAAAAUGACGGUACCUGACUAAGAAGCCCCGGCUAACUACGUGCCAGCAGUCGCGGUAAUACGUAGGGGGCAAGCGUUAUCCGGAUUUACUGGGUGUAAAGGGAGCGUAGGCGGCAAGACAAGUCUGAUGUGAAAGCCCGGGGCUCAACCCCGGGACUGCAUUGGAAACUGUUUAGCUAGAGUGUCGGAGAGGUAAGUGGAAUUCCUAGUGUAGCGGUGAAAUGCGUAGAUAUUAGGAGGAACAUCAGUGGCGAAGGCGACUUACUGGACGAUAACUGACGCUGAGGCUCGAAAGCGUGGGGAGCAAACAGGAUUAGAUACCCUGGUAGUCCACGCUGUAAACGAUGAAUACUAGGUGUCGGGUGGCAAAGCCAUUCGGUGCCGCAGCUAACGCAAUAAGUAUUCCACCUGGGGAGUACGUUCGCAAGAAUGAAACUCAAAGGAAUUGACGG
rnacentral:rRNA from 1 species